UGAGGCCAUCCUAGAGUCUGGGCUGACUUCUAAGCACAAUGGAAAGCCAUGGAAGGUUUUAAGGAGGAGCACUCCAUGACCUAAUUUAAUUAUAGGAAGGUUGGCCAGGCAUAAUGGCUCAAGCCUCUAAUCCCCGUUCUUUGGGAAGCUGAGAUGUGAGGAUUGCUUGAGGCCAGAAGUUCAAGACCAGCUGGGCAACAUUGCAAGACCCUGUGUCUAUCUUAUUAAAAUGAAAUAAUUGUAGGAGGGUCAGUCUGAUUAUUGGUGGAGAAUGAGUUAGAUGGGACAAAAAUAGAUCCAAGGGGACCAGACAGGAAGCUGAUAUAUGAUUCAGCUGACAGAUGAUGGUAGACUUGAAAAAGGCAAUGCUAUGGAGGGAUGAGAAGGGAAUGGACCUGAGAUAUAUCUGGGAGAACAGUAGACAGAUUUCUUGAUAGAUGGGAUGUGAGAGGAGGAGGGGAGGAAAGGAAGCAUUAAGAAUGACUCCUAGGUUUUCGACUAAAGCAACCAUGUGGUUGGUGGUGCCUUUGGUGGGGAUGAGGAAGGCUAGUGAGGGUUGGACAUGAGCUGGAGGCUGGAGAACAGGUUUGGGAUGGGAAAUCAGUAGAAGUUACUUCUCCAGAUUGGAAUAAAAUAGAGAAUGAAUUGUUUCUCCAGCUUGGGGUAAAAGAUAUCCUUAAUAUUUUAAUUUUUCUAAUUAGCCACCCCUCAUACUUAUGUUAACAACGAGUCCAAUAUCCUCCCUCUUCAGAGCUCCGACCUCUCUGAAGAUUAUACGUGAACGUGAACCCCAGGGUAAGACUUUAAGCUCUGAUCAAAGGGGAUACUUUGACUUUCAAAUACAGGUAAAGAGAGAAUUAAUGAUUUGGAGACUAGCUCACCUGGUGGCUUGGAACAGCUUUUGUUGGCUUCUGAGUAUCCUGCCUGCCUGCAGUUCGGGCCCCCUCCAUGACUCUAGCCUCUGCCUUCUGUUCAGUGAUGAUUUCCAGUGCUGGUCUAACCAGCCUUUCUUCACUUAACCCUCAACGAGUCCAAUAUCCUCCCUCUUCAGAGCUCCGACCUCUCUGAAGAUUAUACGUGAACGUGAACCCCAGGGUAAGACUUUAAGCUCUGAUCAAAGGGGAUACUUUG
rnacentral:lncRNA from 1 species